AAAUGCGCUAAGUAAUGUGCAUUGCAGAAUUCCGUGAAUCAUCGAAUCUUUGAACGCACAUUGCGCCCUCUGGCAUUCCGGGGGGCAUGCCUGUCCGAGCGUCAUUACGCACCCUCAAGCCCGGCUUGUGUGAUGGGCCCCGGCGUCUCGUUCGCGAGACGGGCCCGAAAGGCAGCGGCGGCGUCGACCCGAUGAGCCCGAGCGUAUGGGGACUUCUGUCACACGUUCGCGGUGCGGACCGGCGCCUGCUUGACUUUUCUGAUUAUCCAGGUUGACCUCGGAUCAGGUAGGGAUACCCGCUGAACUUAAGC
rnacentral:misc_RNA from 1 species